rnacentral:rRNA from 1 species
UACGUAGGGUGCGAGCGUUGUCCGGAAUUACUGGGCGUAAAGAGCUCGUAGGUGGUUUGUCGCGUCGUCUGUGAAAUUCCGGGGCUUAACUCCGGGCGUGCAGGCGAUACGGGCAUAACUUGAGUACUGUAGGGGAGACUGGAAUUCCUGGUGUAGCGGUGAAAUGCGCAGAUAUCAGGAGGAACACCGGUGGCGAAGGCGGGUCUCUGGGCAGUAACUGACGCUGAGGAGCGAAAGCAUGGGUAGCGAACAGGAUUAGAUACCCCCGUAGU